UACAGAGGGUGCAAGCGUUAAUCGGAAUUACUGGGCGUAAAGCGUGCGUAGACGGUCAUGUAAGUCGGGUGUGAAAGCCCCGGGCUCAACCUGGGAAUUGCAUUCGAGACUGCAUGGCUAGGAUGCGGAAGAGGGAAGCGGAAUUUCCGGUGUAGCGGUGAAAUGCGUAGAUAUCGGAAGGAACACCAGUGGCGAAAGCGGCUUCCUGGUCCAGCAUCGACGUUCAGGCACGAAAGCGUGGGGAGCAAACAGGG
rnacentral:rRNA from 1 species